AACAGGAUUAGAUACCCUGGUAGUCCAUGCCGUAAACGAUGUCUACUAGCCGUUGGGGCCCUUGAGGCUUUAGUGGCGCAGCUAACGCGAUAAGUAGACCGCCUGGGGAGUACGGUCGCAAGACUAAAACUCAAAUGAAUUGACGGGGGCCCGCACAAGCGGUGGAGCAUGUGGUUUAAUUCGAUGCAACGCGAAGAACCUUACCUGGCCUUGACAUACAGAGAACUUUCCAGAGAUGGAUUGGUGCCUUCGGGAACUCUGAUACAGGUGCUGCAUGGCUGUCGUCAGCUCGUGUCGUGAGAUGUUGGGUUAAGUCCCGCAACGAGCGCAACCCUUUUCCUUAUUUGCCAGCACUUCGGGUGGGAACUUUAAGGAUACUGCCAGUGACAAACUGGAGGAAGGCGGGGACGACGUCAAGUCAUCAUGGCCCUUACGGCCAGGGCUACACACGUGCUACAAUGGUCGGUACAAAGGGUUGCUACUGCGCGAGCAGAUGCUAAUCUCAAAAAGCCGAUCGUAGUCCGGAUCGCAGUCUGCAACUCGACUGCGUGAAGUCGGAAUCGCUAGUAAUCGCGGAUCAGAAUGCCGCGGUGAAUACGUUCCCGGGCCUUGUACACACCGCCCGUCACACCAUGGGAGUUUGUUGCACCAGAAGUAGCUAGCCUAACUGCAAAGAGGGCGGUUACCACGGUGUGGCCGAUGACUGGGGUGAAGUCGUAACAAGGUAGCCGUAAGCUUGGAUCCCGGG
rnacentral:rRNA from 1 species